GCUAAAUACUCCUGACUGACCGAUAGUGAAACAGUACCGUGAGGGAAAGGCGAAAAGAACCCCGGCGAGGGGAGGGAAAAAGAACCUGAAACCGUGUACGUACAAUCAGCUGGAGCACGCUUAGGCGUGUGACUGCGUACCUUUUGUAUAAUGGGUCAGCGACUUAUAUUCUGUAGCAAGGUUAACCGAAUAGGGGAGCCGAAGGGAAACCGAGUCUUAACUGGGCGUUAAGUUGCAGGGUAUAGACCCGAAACCCGGUGAUCUAGCCAUGGGCAGGUUGAAGGUUGGGUAACACUAACUGGAGGACCGAACCGACUAAUGUUGAAAAAUAAGCGGAUGACUUGUGGCGGGGGGGGACAGGCCAAUCAAAACGGGAGAUAGCUGGUUCUCCCCGAAAGAUAUUUAGGUAGCGCCUCGUGAAUUCAUGCCCGGGGGGAGAGCACUGUUUAGGCAAGGGGGACAUCCCGACUUACCAACCCGAGGCACACUU
rnacentral:rRNA from 1 species